rnacentral:rRNA from 1 species
GAGUUUGAUCGUGGCUCAGGAUGAACGCUAGCUACAGGCUUAACACAUGCAAGUCGAGGGGAAACGACAUCGAAAGCUUGCUUUUGAUGGGCGUCGACCGGCGCACGGGUGAGUAACGCGUAUCCAACCUGCCCAUCACUUGGGAAUAACCUUGCGAAAGUAAGACUAAUGCCCAAUGACAUUUAUAGAAGGCAUCUGAAAUGAAUUAAAGAUUUAUCGGUGAUGGAUGGGGAUGCGUCUGAUUAGCUUGUUGGCGGGGUAACGGCCCACCAAGGCGACGAUCAGUAGGGGUUCUGAGAGGAAGGUCCCCCAAUUGGAACUGAGACACGGUCCAAACUCCUACGGGAGCAGCAGUGAGGAAUAUUGGUCAAUGGGCAGAGCCUGAACCAGCCAAGUAGCGUGCAGGAUGACGGCCCUA